AUGGUGGUGCGCAAGCUUCUCAGGAAGCGCUGGGUUCUCGGGGUGGUUUUUGGACUGUCCCUCAUUUACUUCCUGGCCAGCACACUCAAGCAGGAGGAGAGGACCGUACGUGACCGGACCCUUCUGCAAGCCCGGGACCCUGACCACCGCAUCGACUGGAAAGUUAACUUUAACUUGGGAAACAGCAGCCGUCAAAUCAACCGAUGUAGGAACUCUAUCCAGGGCAAGGUUCUCCUCACAGACGAGCUGGGUUUUGUCUGUCAGAGGGAGGAUCUGCUGGUGAAUGGCUGCUGCAAUGUCAAUAACCCCAGCACCAGCCAGUAUCUCUGCAAGAGCUGCUUGUCCAAUGGGUGCUGCGGUGUGUAUGAGUACUGCGUUUCCUGCUGUCUGCAGCCAGACAAGCAACAGCUCCUGGAGCGCUUCCUGAAUCGAGCAGCAGAAGGCUUUCAGAAUCUCUUCACAGCCGUCAAGGACCAUUUUGAACUGUGUCUGGCCAAGUGUAGGACCUCUUCCCAGAGUGUUCAGCAUGAAAAUACCUACAGAGAUCCCAAGGCCAAGUACUGCUAUGGGGAAAAUCCACCAGAACUGCUCCCAAUUUAGUUCUGAAGUCUUGUGUGAGUCAAGGAUGGAAAAUGUACAGGCACAAGGUGUAGGAACUGGUAAAAAGAAGUACCACAUGGGAAACGCCUUCUCAUCCUCAUUUCUUAAGUAGCUGUGACUGAUCCAGGCAGUGUUAACCUGUCCACAUGGAGCCUGAACAAUUGCAACUGGAUUUUCCUGCUUGCGUUUACACUGUCAAAGUUACAGGUUUAAAGAGCCCCAUGGAUACUUGGAAUAAAAACUAAAAUAAACCCCAGAAUUAUGAAUGAGAUCAGGGCAGUGACGGACCACAAACUCAACUGUGUUGCAAAAAAGAAUUGACAGAACCAUUUCAAACUGACCCUGCUGAAUCUGACUCGUGUACAAACAGUAACUUACACCUGCCACAAUAAAGAAAAAAGCAUAGAGAGAUCAGAUUACCUGCUGUCGAUCCCAUCAAGACUGAACCAAGACUAUUUCCUUGGGAGAUGAGCUGCCAAAGUUAGCAAACUUUUAUGAGCAGAGAAAGUGGUUCACCACAACUGAUAAGAAAAUGCCGCUGAUGAAAUUCUGAAGGCAGGCAGAUUGCAGUCCAUCCCACUAGACAUGUCAAGGCAUGUGGGAGGCACCUUACUGCCCUGUAUUCCUGUAGAAUGAGUCUCUGGGACAGUCCGAAUGGAAAGGAACACCUCUCCCCGUUUCCAUGUGGGUUCUGCUUAUCUGCGCAGCUGGA